GCCGGUGGCGGGUGCUAUAAUGCAAGUCGAGCGGACAGAAGGGAGCUUGCUCCCGGAUGUUAGCGGCGGACGGGUGAGUAACACGUGGGUAACCUGCCUGUAAGACUGGGAUAACUCCGGGAAACCGGAGCUAAUACCGGAUAGUUCCUUGAACCGCAUGGUUCAAGGAUGAAAGACGGUUUCGGCUGUCACUUACAGAUGGACCCGCGGCGCAUUAGCUAGUUGGUGAGGUAACGGCUCACCAAGGCGACGAUGCGUAGCCGACCUGAGAGGGUGAUCGGCCACACUGGGACUGAGACACGGCCCAGACUCCUACGGGAGGCAGCAGUAGGGAAUCUUCCGCAAUGGACGAAAGUCUGACGGAGCAACGCCGCGUGAGUGAUGAAGGUUUUCGGAUCGUAAAGCUCUGUUGUUAGGGAAGAACAAGUGCAAGAGUAACUGCUUGCACCUUGACGGUACCUAACCAGAAAGCCACGGCUAACUACGUGCCAGCAGCCGCGGUAAUACGUAGGUGGCAAGCGUUGUCCGGAAUUAUUGGGCGUAAAGGGCUCGCAGGCGGUUUCUUAAGUCUGAUGUGAAAGCCCCCGGCUCAACCGGGGAGGGUCAUUGGAAACUGGGAAACUUGAGUGCAGAAGAGGAGAGUGGAAUUCCACGUGUAGCGGUGAAAUGCGUAGAGAUGUGGAGGAACACCAGUGGCGAAGGCGACUCUCUGGUCUGUAACUGACGCUGAGGAGCGAAAGCGUGGGGAGCGAACAGGAUUAGAUACCCUGGUAGUCCACGCCGUAAACGAUGAGUGCUAAGUGUUAGGGGUUUCCGCCCCUUAGUGCUGCAGCUAACGCAUUAAGCACUCCGCCUGGGGAGUACGGUCGCAAGACUGAAACCCAAAGGAAUUGACGGGGGCCCGCACAAGCGGUGGAGCAUGUGGUUUAAUUCGAAGCAACGCCGAAGAACCUUACCAGUCUUGACAUCCUCUGACAACCCUAGAAGAUAGGGCUUUCCCUUCGGGGACAGAGUGACAGGUGGUGCAUGGAUGUCGUCAGCCUCCGUGUCGUGAGAAUG
rnacentral:rRNA from 1 species